AUUGAACGCUGGCGGCAUGCUUUACACAUGCAAGUCGAACGGCAGCGCGGGCUUCGGCCUGGCGGCGAGUGGCGAACGGGUGAGUAAUACAUCGGAACGUGCCCAGUAGUGGGGGAUAGCUCGGCGAAAGCCGGAUUAAUACCGCAUACGACCUGAGGGUGAAAGCGGGGGAUCUUCGGACCUCGCGCUAUUGGAGCGGCCGAUGGCAGAUUAGCUAGUUGGUGGGGUAAAGGCCUACCAAGGCGACGAUCUGUAGCUGGUCUGAGAGGACGACCAGCCACACUGGGACUGAGACACGGCCCAGACUCCUACGGGAGGCAGCAGUGGGGAAUUUUGGACAAUGGGCGAAAUCCUGAUCCAGCAAUGCCGCGUGUGUGAUGAAGGCCUUCGGGUUGUAAAGCACUUUUGGCGGGAACGAAAAGGACUGUGCCAAUACCACGGUUCGAUGACGGUACCCGCAGAAUAAGCACCGGCUAACUACGUG
rnacentral:rRNA from 1 species